UUCAGAGUAGCAGCCGUGUUAGUCUGUAUUCGCAAAAAGAGGGGGAGUGCUUGUGGCACCUUAGAGACUAACAGGUUUGUUGGAGCGUGGGCUUUCGUGGGCUACAGCUCACUUCAUCGGAUGCACCGAUGGGGUGGGCUGUGGCUCGCGAAGGCUUGUGCUCUGGUGGAUUUGUUGGUCUCUGGGUGCCACAAGUACUCCUUUUCUUUUUGCGAAUACAGA